rnacentral:rRNA from 1 species
GAUGAACGCUGGCGGCGUGCCUUAGGCAUGCAAGUCGAGCGCGAACCCCGCAAGGGGUGAAAGCGGCGAAAGGGAGAGUAACGCGUGGGUAUUUACCCUCGGGACUGGGAUAGCUGCGGGAAACUGCAGGUAAUACCAGAUGACGUCCCCGGACCAAAAGUGUGAUUCCGCCUGAGGAUAAGCCCGCGUCCUAUUAGCUAGUUGGUGAGGUAAUGGCUCACCAAGGCAAUGAUGGGUACUGGGUGUGAGAGCACGACCCAGCUCACUGGGACUGAGACACUGCCCAGACACCUACGGGUGGCUGCAGUCGAGAAUCUUCGGCAAUGGGCGCAAGCCUGACCGAGCGACGCCGCGUGUGGGAUGAAGGCCUUCGGGUUGUAAACCGCUGUCAGAGGGGAGGAAUGGGCGGAGGGUAAUCUCUUCGUUUUGACCUAUCCUCAGAGGAAGUACGGGCUAAGUUCGUGCCAGCCGCCGCGGUAA